rnacentral:rRNA from 1 species
GGUUAAGCGACUAAGCGUACACGGUGGAUGCCCUGGCAGUCAGAGGCGAUGAAGGACGUGCUAAUCUGCGAUAAGCGUCGGUAAGGUGAUAUGAACCGUUAUAACCGGCGAUUUCCGAAUGGGGAAACCCAGUGUGAUUCGUCACACUAUCAUUACGUGAAUACAUAGCGUAAUGAAGCGAACCGGGGGAACUGAAACAUCUAAGUACCCCGAGGAAAAGAAAUCAACCGAGAUUCCCCCAGUAGCGGCGAGCGAACGGGGAGCAGCCCAGAGUCUGAAUCAGCUUGUGUGUUAGUGGAACGGUCUGGAAAGUCCGACGGUACAGGGUGAUAGUCCCGUACACCAAAAUGCACAGGUUGUGAACUCGAAGAGUAGGGCGGGACACGUGGUAUCCUGUCUGAAUAUGGGGGGACCAUCCUCCAAGGCUAAAUACUCCUGACUGACCGAUAGUGAACCAGUACCGUGAGGGAAAGGCGAAAAGAACCCCGGCGAGGGGAGUGAAAAAGAACCUGAAACCGUGUACGUACAAGCAGUGGGAGCAUCCUUUUGGGUGUGACUGCGUACCUUUUGUAUAAUGGGUCAGCGACUUAUAUUCUGUAGCAAGGUUAACCGUAUAGGGGAGCCGAAGGGAAACCGAGUCUUAACUGGGCGUUAAGUUGCAGGGUAUAGACCCGAAACCCGGUGAUCUAGCCAUGGGCAGGUUGAAGGUUGGGUAACACUAACUGGAGGACCGAACCGACUAAUGUUGAAAAAUUAGCGGAUGACUUGUGGCUGGGGGUGAAAGGCCAAUCAAACCGGGAGAUAGCUGGUUCUCCCCGAAAGCUAUUUAGGUAGCGCCUCGUGAA